GGAUUGUGGCUCAGUGGUAGAGCGCUUGCCUAGCAUGUAUGAAGCACUAGGUUCGAUUCUAAGCACCA
rnacentral:tRNA from 1 species